rnacentral:piRNA from 1 species
UGAAUGUGGUUUUCUACAGAUUGGUGGGUGU